UCUGGUCAUGAUGAAUCCAAUUGGAGUUUUCGGGCUUGUUAGUGGAGAACUGAGGCUGUGAUCAAAAGAGAAAGAUGAGUUCUUUAACUGAGAAACCUCAUAACUGGUUUUGGUUUUGGCUAUAUUAUUUCUUAUGUGCAAUUGCAUAUAAUUUUUGUGCAAUUGCAUACAGUUUAUGCAAUUUUUGACCCCCUGUAUGCAAUUAGCGAUAGUGUGAUGUUUAAAGAAAC
rnacentral:lncRNA from 1 species